UACAGAGGGUGCAAACGUUGCUCGGAAUUAUUGGGCGUAAAGCGCGUGUAGGCGGCUUGGUAAGUUGGUUGUGAAAACCCAUGGCUCAACCAUGGAAGGGCGUCCAAAACUGGCAAGCUAGAGUCCCGACGAGGAUGGCGGAAUUCCCAGUGUAGAGGUGAAAUUCGUAGAUAUUGGGAGGAACACCGGUGGCGAAGGCGGCCAUCUGGGAGGGCACUGACGCUGAGGAGCGAAAGCCAGGGGAGCAAACGGG
rnacentral:rRNA from 1 species